rnacentral:rRNA from 1 species
GGAUUAGAUACCCUGGUAGUCCACACCGUAAACGAUGUCUACUAGCUGUGUGCGAAUGUAUAUUUGUGCGUAGCGCAGCCAACGCGAUAAGUAGACCGCCUGGGGAGUACGGCCGCAAGGUUAAAACUCAAAUGAAUUGACGGGGGCCCGCACAAGCGGUGGAGCAUGUGGUUUAAUUCGAUGCAACGCGAAGAACCUUACCUACACUUGACAUGCAGAGAACUUUCUAGAGAUAGAUUGGUGCCUUCGGGAACUCUGACACAGGUGCUGCAUGGCUGUCGUCAGCUCGUGCCG